rnacentral:rRNA from 1 species
UACGUAGGGUGCGAGCGUUAAUCGGAAUUACUGGGCGUAAAGCGUGCGCAGGCGGUUCGCCAAGUCAGGUUUGAAAUCCCCGGGCUUAACCUGGGAAUUGCGCUUGAAACUAGCGGGCUUGAGUGUGGCAGAGGGGGGUGGAAUUCCACGUGUAGCAGUGAAAUGCGUAGAGAUGUGGAGGAACACCGAUGGCGAAGGCAGCCCCCUGGGUCAACACUGACGCUCAUGCACGAAAGCGUGGGGAGCAAACAGG